UCCUUCAAACCCUUCAAACCCUUCACUGCCGAUUCCUUCUUCCUCCGAUGAAGUCCUUUUGAUUGGCUCAUCUUCACUGCCGAUUGGCUCACCGUCAAAGGCAUCUUCACUGCCGAUUGCCUCACCGGUUGGUUCCCUUCUCUUUCGAGCUCCGGCAAGAGGCAAUUUCAUGUACUUCAUGGCUGAGUUGUAGAAGGAGGAAGAAGAUUGGAUCAACUUCACCGAGGAUCCCAAUUGUGCAGCGUUCCAGAUGACCCUUUCGGCGAUCCAAAGGCUAUGAGCAUAUAUGGAAGAGUAAAGAACUUGAGAUUAGUCAGACACAUUGAAAAAUUGCUGGAGAAGUGUCAGUCUUCCUUCUGAAACAGAGGAAACGAUGGAAACAUGGCGAAUUGGCAUUUGAGAUUGCUGAGGAGUUCGCCUGCCAGUAUGUUAGCUUGCCCUUUGAUUGCCAGAAGGUUCCCCAUAUCGUUUCUGUUGUUGAAGUUUAGUCUAGUUCUAGGUUGUUGAACUUGGUUUGAUGCUAAAUUCAGGCUGUAGUCUUGUUUGGUUCUGUAUCAGCUUAUGCUGUUUGUUGAUCUUCCUGUAUACGAAC